rnacentral:pre_miRNA from 3 species
UCUUAUAGAUGAACCAAGAAAGUGGUUUCUUGAGAUAGAACCUACUCAUAGUGAAGAUGCUAUGAA